GGAUAUUGGAGUUGUCACUGGCAUCCAAAGCAAGAAUCAUAUCCCCUCGACCAACGUGCCACACUUUUUAUUGUAGAAUAACAACAUUUUCAGCUACCAUUCAUAUUCCACAGCAUACCAGGAUUCCUUCAGUGCUCCUAUGUGGCCACAUGCACCUCUGCUGACUUCCACCAAUAAUUAGACAAUAUCUUCAGUUGCAGUUCUAAAUGACUCACUUUGGACUUACUGGAGAACUAAAAGAAAUAAAAUACAUUAUAUGGUAUAGUUGUCCGCUGUGGCAUGUGUAUAUUAACCUAUCCAUAAUAACGUAGUCACAAAUUGAGCAUUGCAGAGCAGUAGCAGGCAUGACGCUUUUAUUCUGAAAAACUCCUACUGGACAUGUUGUUGUUCCGGGAGAAACACAAAGAGCAACGGCGGACACACAAUUCAAGACACCUCUCUGCAUAGCUAGCGAGGAGGACACGUGUCGCCAGCCGUCUCCCCCCUGUACAUUCUGCACUUCAUUUGGCAAAACAGGAGACCACAUCACAUGAGGAACAUCUUCAGCUUCGUCCUUAAUACAUCCCAGCUCCCGAGGCAGCUGCUCAGUUGUUAACGUGGUUGUCUGUUGGCUUUCAAAGAGACAGUCUGCACCUCCACCUCCAGCAUGAGUGAGUUGUCAGACUUUAAAAGAGGCCAAAUUGUCGGUGCCCAGGUUGCGGGUCUGUCUGUGAGGAAAACCGCCCAGUUAUAUGACGUAUCGAGUCGGACUGUGGUCAAAGUCAUGAGCGCUUACAACAAAGAUGGAUUCACUGCAGCGGCACAGAAAAGCAAAAGACAGAAGCCACGGGCGAAAAGGAAAAGACUGAACAACACUGUUGCUAAUGGAGAGGCUGCCAGUGAUCGACCAGUAUCUGACUGUGACACUAAAGCACUAAACUCUGAUGAACGUAAAGGAAAACCUGAGUCCCAGACUGCAGACGAGCAGUGACUUGGUGUGAUGGGCUGUAUUUCACAUAUUGUUUGCGUAAAGCCACAGGAUGCCAUCAUUUAAUCCAAACUAUGCUAAUUUUUAACAUUGUCAUGUUUUAGCUUUAAUCAUUGUUUUGAAAGGCUUGAAAAUGGAUGUGGGAGCAUGAUCUUUUCUGUCAGCUGAGGACAUUUCCAGGGUUUUCCCAAGCUUUCCUGAAUAUGUUCCACCAACUUUAUGUCAAGUUAAACCGGUGGCACAUUGGUAAAAUUACACUAAACUGUGUUUUUCCUGCUUAGAGGAACUUUUGGUGCCACCCAAAGAUAUUUUACCGACCCCAAAGGAAGGUCUUAAGCGCCAGCAAUGAUGAGAAUUGAGAAUUCCAAGUGCAAUUCGGUUUUCUAACCAGUUUUGUUAAUUAUGACAUACUUAGGCGUCAAGUAAGCCAAUUUUUAUUUAGCAAAUGGUCAGAAAUAACAGAGAAAUGCAUCAAUUUCUGGCCUUUACUGUCCCUGAACCAAUCAUGGGUAUCGUCAUCGCAAAGGUUCAUUCUGACCACGUAGAAACCCUGAUGAUGGUAGAUUUUUCUUCAAUCAAGCUUCACCAUUACAGCAUGCACAGACAAUAAAAACAAAAGAAAUCUAUAAGGGUUUUUUUUGUUUUUUUUUCAAUAAAUACAUCAAUAGUGAGAGUGUAAAUCAAACAAGCUGUGAGUUUUUCCCUCAUGUGCUCGCAUUGAACAGUGUCUUAAGCUCAUGGUUGCAUGCUGGUGAUAUUCCACUGGUCAUAUCACAUAAACUGGUCCAUGUACCACUUUAUGUUUAUGGAUUUCUGAAUAAUGUGACUUUUUGUUACGUUUCGAAGGAGUUCAAAUGGAAAAAAUAAAAAAAAUGUGAAGACAGUGGACCUGUUGUUAAUUCAAAGCUAUUAAAAUGUGAUUUAUUUUA